rnacentral:rRNA from 1 species
GGCGUAAGAGCUCGUAGGCGGUCUGUCGCGUCUGCUGUGAAAACCCGAGGCUCAACCUCGGGCCUGCAGUGGGUACGGGCAGACUAGAGUGCGGUAGGGGAGAAUGGAAUUCCUGGUGUAGCGGUGGAAUGCGCAGAUAUCAGGAGGAACACCGAUGGCGAAGGCAGUUCUCUGGGCCGUAACUGACGCUGAGGAGCGAAAGCGUGGGGAGCGAACAGGAUUAGAUACCCUGGUAGUCCACGCCGUAAACGUUGGGCGCUAGAUGUGGGGACCAUUCCACGGUUUCCGUGUCGCAGCUAACGCAUUAAGCGCCCCGCCUGGGGAGUACGGCCGCAAGGCUAAAACUCAAAGGAAUUGACGGGGGCCCGCACAAGCGGCGGAGCAUGCGGAUUAAUUCGAUGCAACGCGAAGAACCCUUUACCAAGGGCUUUGACAUACACGAAAACGCCCUAGAAAAUAGGGAAACUCUUUUGGACACUCGUGAAACAGGUGGUGCAUGGGUUGUCGUCAGCUCGUGGUCGUGAGAUGUUUGGGGUUAAGUCCCCGCAACGGAGCGCAACCCCUUCGUUCUAUGGUUGCCAGCGCCUAAUUGGCGGGAAACUCCAUAGAAAAACUGCCGGGGUCAACUCCGAAGGAAGGGUGGGGGAUGAACGUCAAAUCAUCCUUGCCCCCUUUAUUGUCUUUGGGCCUUCACGCAUGCCUUCAAUGGGCCGGGUCAAAAAGGGGCUGGCAAAAUCCCGGUAAGGGGGGAAGCGAAAUCCCCCAAAAAGC